rnacentral:rRNA from 1 species
GACGAACGCUGGCGGCGUGCUUAACACAUGCAAGUCGAACGGAAAGGCCCCUUUGGGGGUACUCGAGUGGCGAACGGGUGCGUAACACGUGAGUAACCUGCCCUUGACUUCGGGAUAACUUCAGGAAACUGGGGCUAAUACCGGAUAGGAAUCCUUGCUGCAUGGUGGGGGUUGGAAAGCUUCGGCGGUUUUGGAUGGACUCGCGGCUUAUCAGCUUGUUGGUGGGGUAGUGGCUUACCAAGGCUUUGACGGGUAGCCGGCCUGAGAGGGCGACCGGCCACAUUGGGACUGAGAUACGGCCCAGACUCCUACGGGAGGCAGCAGUGGGGAAUAUUGCACAAUGGGCGGAAGCCUGAUGCAGCAACGCCGCGUGCGGGAUGACGGCCUUCGGGUUGUAAACCGCUUUCAGCAGGGGCGAAGCUUGUGGUGACGGUGCCUGCAGAAGAAGCACCGGCUAACUACGUG